ACCUGGCUGUGGGGCCUCAGCAGCACCAGCAGUGAGCUGGUCAGACGGUCCCGGGGCGCCUUCCAGCACUGACUGCACGGCUGUGUCAGGGCUGUCAUUUGCUCCCAGGGGACAGAGCAUGGGACAUAGCUGGCACCUCUCAGCCUCUAAGAGCUGGCCCGACCCAGGCUCCCCGAGGGGCCUCCUGUGUGACUUUCUCAUCUGCCAGACCUAACAAGUGAGGGGAAUGCAUUCAAUGAAGAGGGAAGAAACUAGUGACAGGCUAAGAGCAGUUCAGAGAAAACUCGAGGGACCACAAGGUGCAGGCAAACAGGGAAGAUUGCGAUGGAUUUUACAAAUAAAUGCAAACUGGCCCAUCCCCAGGGCGCCAACUAC